UUCCAGGAACUUGAUACUAAAUUUGGGACUCUUUGCUGCGGGAGUUUGGCUGGCCAGGAACUUGAGUGACAUUGACCUCAUGGCACCUCAGCCAGGGGUGUAGCCAAGUAGUUCUAAUGCCACCUGUUGUCUUAUCCGAUUGCAGACAAAUGGAAUCCUGUGCUGAACCCGAAUCUUCCAAAAAACAGCCUACAAUCUGUGACCACCACAAGAUGUGCCCUGAUGGCAGCUGAAGUUUGAUUCAGAUGGGCACUUUUCUUCCCUCUCCCUGCCUAGUUUCCUUUUGUUCCUUGAGUCCACGCAGAAUUCCAUUCUCUGGCCAGCAGACAGGCUUAAGCUAAAGUA